rnacentral:rRNA from 1 species
UACGUAGGGUGCGAGCGUUAAUCGGAAUUACUGGGCGUAAAGGGUGCGCAGGCGGUUAUAUAAGACAGAUGUGAAAUCCCCGGGCUCAACCUGGGAACUGCGUUUGUGACUGCAUGACUAGAGUACGGUAGAGAGGGGUGGAAUUCCUGGUGUAGCAGUGAAAUGCGUAGAUAUCAGGAGGAACACCGAUGGCGAAGGCAGGUCUCUGGGCCACUACUGACGCUGAGAAGCGAAAGCAUGGGGAGCGAACAGG